AGUGGCGAACGGGUGAGUAACACGUGAGCAACCUGCCUUUCAGUGGGGGACAACAUUUGGAAACGAAUGCUAAUACCGCAUAAGACCACAGUGUCGCAUGGCACAGGGGUCAAAGGAUUUAUCCGCUGAAAGAUGGGCUCGCGUCCGAUUAGCUAGAUGGUGAGGUAACGGCCCACCAAGGCGACGAUCGGUAGCCGGACUGAGAGGUUGAACGCCCACAUUGGGACUGAGACACGGCCCAGACUCCUACGGGAGGCAGCAGUGGGGAAUAUUGCACAAUGGGGGAAACCCUGAUGCAGCGACGCCGCGUGGAGGAAGAAGGUCUUCGGAUUGUAAACUCCUGUUGUUGAGGAAGAUAAUGACGGUACUCAACAAGGAAGUGACGGCUAACUACGUGCCAGCAGCCGCGGUAAAACGUAGGUCACAAGCGUUGUCCGGAAUUACUGGGUGUAAAGGGAGCGCAGGCGGGAAGACAAGUUGGAAGUGCAAUCCAUGGGCUCAACCCAUGAACUGCUUUCAAAACUGUUUUUCUUGAGUAGUGCAGAGGUAGGCGGAAUUCCCGGUGUAGCGGUGGAAUGCGUAGAUAUCGGGAGGAACACCAGUGGCGAAGGCGGCCUACUGGGCACCAACUGACGCUGAGGCUCGAAAGUGUGGGUAGCAAACAGGAUUAGAUACCCUGGUAGUCCACACUGUAAACGAUGAUUACUAGGUGUUGGAGGAUUGACCCCUUCAGUG
rnacentral:rRNA from 1 species